UAGGGAAUCUUCCGCAAUGGGCGAAAGCCUGACGGAGCAACGCCGCGUGAGUGAUGAAGGUCUUCGGAUCGUAAAACUCUGUUAUUAGGGAAGAACAAAUGUGUAAGUAACUAUGCACGUCUUGACGGUACCUAAUCAGAAAGCCACGGCUAACUACGUGCCAGCAGCCGCGGUAAUACGUAGGUGGCAAGCGUUAUCCGGAAUUAUUGGGCGUAAAGCGCGCGUAGGCGGUGUUUUAAGUCUGAUGUGAAAGCCCACGGCUCAACCGUGGAGGGUCAUUGGAAACUGGAAAACUUGAGAGCAGAAGAGGAAAGUGGAAUUCCAUGUGUGGCGGUGAAAUGCGCAGAGAUAUGGAGGAACACCAGUGGCGAAGGCGACUUUCUGGUCUGUAACUGACGCUGAUGUGCGAAAGCGUGGGGAUCAAACAGG
rnacentral:rRNA from 1 species